rnacentral:rRNA from 1 species
CCUACGGGAGGCAGCAGUGAGGAAUAUUGGUCAAUGGGCGUAAGCCUGAACCAGCCAAGCCGCGUGAGGGAUGAAGGUUCUAUGGAUCGUAAACCUCUUUUAUAAGGGAAUAAAGUGUGGGACGUGUCCUGUUUUGUAUGUACCUUAUGAAUAAGGAUCGGCUAACUCCGUGCCAGCAGCCGCGGUAAUACGGAGGAUCCGAGCGUUAUCCGGAUUUAUUGGGUUUAAAGGGUGCGUCGGCGGCCUUUUAAGUCAGCGGUGAAAGUCAGUGGCUCAACCCUCGAAUUGCCGUUGAAACUGGGAGGCUUGAGUAUGUUUGAGGCAGGCGGAAUGCGUGGUGUAGCGGUGAAAUGCUUAGAUAUCACGCAGAACCCCGAUUGCGAAGGCAGCCUGCCAGGCCAUGACUGACGCUGAUGCACGAAAGCGUGGGGAUCAAACAGGAUUAGAUACCCCGGUAGUC